CUUCAUUUGCUAAAUGUUGUGCUAACUGUUCCCAAAAUUUGUAUAGCAUAUAUUUUACACGAUUACCAUUCAUCAUUAACUGAACUAUUAUCUUGGUUAAUCUACCACCAUGAGUUUGUGCUGCAACUCUUAACAAAGGUCGUUUGUUAGGUAAGAUUCCCUGACGAAUGAUUAAAAAGAUAUGGGCGGCUGCUUCAAGGAAGAUCAAAUUGUCAACUCAGCUUGUAUUUGCUGAGGAUAAGAUAGUUUGGAGUGUGGCUACUGAGAGAGAGAGAGAGAUAGAGAGAGAGAGAGAGAGAGAGGCAGAGAAAAAUAAAUCAGAGAUGGCGCAAAUGUGGGUGAAAUUCAGGCCGUCGAAGAUGAUGGGGAGAAUAAUAUAGCAUCUUGCUACUUGGGAUCAAAACCCUCAAAAUUCAACCUUAGCAUCUUCCUUCUCUCGGACAUGAUUUAUAAAGUGCAGAUGAGUAGCAUGUGACAUGGUCCUUCUUACUUCCUACUUUAGGAGUUGCAGCAUGGUGGUAGACCUGAAUAGAUUGCUGCUCUACAGUCUGAGGCUGAGAUAUCGAAUGGCUCCACAAUUACCAUCACAUGCAUUAAGAUUCACUCUUACUAAACUUCUUGAGUUUCGUUCAAAGAAAGAUAGUUUCCUAGUUUCAAAUAAGCCAAAUAUUAAUUUGUGUACUACCAAAUGUUUGUUAAGGAUUUGGAACAUAUAUGUAUUUUUGUAUUUUUUUGUUAAGGAUU